GAGUUUGAUCUUGGCUCAGAUUGAACGCUGGCGGCAGGCCUAACACAUGCAAGUCGAGCGGAUGAAGGGAGCUUGCUCCUGGAUUCAGCGGCGGACGGGUGAGUAAUGCCUAGGAAUCUGCCUGGUAGUGGGGGAUAACGUCCGGAAACGGGCGCUAAUACCGCAUACGUCCUGAGGGAGAAAGUGGGGGAUCUUCGGACCUCACGCUAUCAGAUGAGCCCAGGUCGGAUUAGCUAGUUGGUGGGGUAAAGGCCUACCAAGGCGACGAUCCGUAACUGGUCUGAGAGGAUGAUCAGUCACACUGGAACUGAGACACGGUCCAGACUCCUACGGGAGGCAGCAGUGGGGAAUAUUGGACAAUGGGCGAAAGCCUGAUCCAGCCAUGCCGCGUGUGUGAAGAAGGUCUUCGGAUUGUAAAGCACUUUAAGUUGGGAGGAAGGGCAGUAAGUUAAUACCUUGCUGUUUUGACGUUACCAACAGAAUAAGCACCGGCUAACUUCGUGCCAGCAGCCGC
rnacentral:rRNA from 1 species